ACGCACGCUGGCGGCGUGCUUAACACAUGCAAGUCGAACGGAAAGGCCCUGCUUUUGUGGGGUGCUCGAGUGGCGAACGGGUGAGUAACACGUGAGUAACCUGCCCUUGACUUUGGGAUAACUUCAGGAAACUGGGGCUAAUACCGGAUAGGAGCUCCUGCUGCAUGGUGGGGGUUGGAAAGUUUCGGCGGUUGGGGAUGGACUCGCGGCUUAUCAGCUUGUCGGUGGGGUAGUGGCUUACCAAGGCUUUGACGGGUAGCCGGCCUGAGAGGGUGACCGGCCACAUUGGGACUGAGAUACGGCCCAGACUCCUACGGGAGGCAGCAGUGGGGAAUAUUGCACAAUGGGCGGAAGCCUGAUGCAGCAACGCCGCGUGCGGGAUGACGGCCUUCGGGUUGUAAACCGCUUUCGCCUGUGACGAAGCGUGAGUGACGGUAAUGGGUAAAGAAGCACCGGCUAACUACGUG
rnacentral:rRNA from 1 species